rnacentral:antisense_RNA from 1 species
GAGCCAUGCUAUUGCUUUAGAGAAGCUUCUCCUUGUCAUCUGCUCCCUAGCCUGGAUAACACAUGGAACACUUGAAACAGAAUAUCUAGCUGAGCCCCAGACCUGAAUACAACAUGUUUAAGACCACAGAACAUCUGCAUAGGCUGUAAAUUUCGUUAAAUGAUGGAUGCAAAGAUGGAAGACAGAUGGAUAGAGAAAAAGACAGAAUCAGAUACUGGAUGAGUUAGUACUGCUGCUUGUGCUUCAGAGCUGUCUUAUUACCACAAGGCCGGCAAGCAUCAAUGUCCCCACAUCCCCCUCUGCCUCCCCCUGAAAUGUACCGAUUUAUAUGAAAAUUAAGAUUACAAAUUAAAGCCUGGCUAUCCUGGAGUUUUCCAGUUCAUCAGCCAUCCAAUAAAAAUGAUGUCAAGCCUGUAUGCAUAAUUCCCGGAAGAUUACUUUCGUCCUUACAGCUAAGCCCUGUCCCUGAUAUGAAAGAUCUCUAUCCACUUUUAUUGAAAUAAAGAACUAACAUCAUAAUCCCAA